UACGGAGGGUGCGAGCGUUGUCCGGAAUCACUGGGCGUAAAGGGCGCGUAGGUGGCUACUCAAGCGCGCGGUGAAAGCCCGGGGCUCAACCCCGGGUCGGCCGUGCGGACUGGGAGGCUCGAGCACUGUAGGGGCGGGUGGAAUUCCGGGUGUAGCGGUGGAAUGCGUAGAGAUCCGGAAGAACACCGGUGGCGAAGGCGACUCUUUGGCCUGUAACUGACACUGAGGCGCGAAAGCGUGGGGAGCAAACAGG
rnacentral:rRNA from 1 species